rnacentral:rRNA from 1 species
AGCGUACACGGUGGAUGCCCUGGCAGUCAGAGGCGAUGAAGGACGUGCUAAUCUGCGAAAAGCGUCGGUAAGGUGAUAUGAACCGUUAUAGCCGGCGAUGUCCGAAUGGGGAAACCCAGUGCAAUUCGUUGCACUAUCGUUAACUGAAUACAUAGGUUAACGAGGCGAACCGGGGGAACUGAAACAUCUAAGUACCCCGAGGAAAAGAAAUCAACCGAGAUUCCCCCAGUAGCGGCGAGCGAACGGGGAGCAGCCCAGAGUCUGAAUCAGCUUGUGUGUUAGUGGAACGGUCUGGAAAGUCCGACGGUACAGGGUGAUAGUCCCGUACACCAAAAUGCACAGGUUGUGAACUCGAAGAGUAGGGCGGGACACGUGGUAUCCUGUCUGAAUAUGGGGGGACCAUCCUCCAAGGCUAAAUACUCCUGACUGACCGAUAGUGAACCAGUACCGUGAGGGAAAGGCGAAAAGAACCCCGGCGAGGGGAGUGAAAAAGAACCUGAAACCGUGUACGUACAAGCAGUGGGAGCACCUUCGGGUGUGACUGCGUACCUUUUGUAUAAUGGGUCAGCGACUUAUAUUCUGUAGCAAGGUUAACCGUAUAGGGGAGCCGCAGGGAAACCGAGUCUUAACUGGGCGUUAAGUUGCAGGGUAUAGACCCGAAACCCGGUGAUCUAGCCAUGGGCAGGUUGAAGGUUGGGUAACACUAACUGGAGGACCGAACCGACUAAUGUUGAAAAAUUAGCGGAUGACUUGUGGCUGGGGGUGAAAGGCCAAUCAAACCGGGAGAUAGCUGGUUCUCCCCGAAAGCUAUUUAGGUAGCGCCUCGUGAAUUCAUCUUCGGGGGUAGAGCACUGUUUCGGCUAGGGGGUCAUCCCGACUUACCAACCCGAUGCAAACUACGAAUACCGAAGAAUGUUAUCACGGGAGACACACGGCGGGUGCUAACGUCCGUCGUGAAGAGGGAAACAACCCAGACCGCCAGCUAAGGUCCCAAAGUCAUGGUUAAGUGGGAAACGAUGUGGGAAGGCACAGACAGCCAGGAUGUUGGCUUAGAAGCAGCCAUCAUUUAAAGAAAGCGUAAUAGCUCACUGGUCGAGUCGGCCUGCGCGGAAGAUGUAACGGGGCUAAACCAUGCACCGAAGCUGCGGCAGCGACACUAUGUGUUGUUGGGUAGGGGAGCGUUCUGUAAGCCUGCGAAGGUGACCUGUGAGGGUUGCUGGAGGUAUCAGAAGUGCGAAUGCUGACAUAAGUAACGAUAAAGCGGGUGAAAAGCCCGCUCGCCGGAAGACCAAGGGUUCCUGUCCAACGUUAAUCGGGGCAGGGUGAGUCGACCCCUAAGGCGAGGCCGAAAGGCGUAGUCGAUGGGAAACAGGUUAAUAUUCCUGUACUUGGUGUUACUGCGAAGGGGGGACGGAGAAGGCUAUGUUAGCCGGGCGACGGUUGUCCCGGUUUAAGCAUGUAGGCUGGUUGUCCAGGCAAAUCCGGAUAAUCAAGGCUGAGGUGUGAUGACGAGGCACUACGGUGCUGAAGUAACAAAUGCCCUGCUUCCAGGAAAAGCCUCUAAGCAUCAGGUAACAUCAAAUCGUACCCCAAACCGACACAGGUGGUCAGGUAGAGAAUACCAAGGCGCUUGAGAGAACUCGGGUGAAGGAACUAGGCAAAAUGGUGCCGUAACUUCGGGAGAAGGCACGCUGGUGUGUAGGUGAAGUCCCUGCGGAUGGAGCUGAGACCAGUCGAAGAUACCAGCUGGCUGCAACUGUUUAUUAAAAACACAGCACUGUGCAAACACGAAAGUGGACGUAUACGGUGUGACGCCUGCCCGGUGCCGGAAGGUUAAUUGAUGGGGUUAUCCGUAAGGAGAAGCUCUUGAUCGAAGCCCCGGUAAACGGCGGCCGUAACUAUAACGGUCCUAAGGUAGCGAAAUUCCUUGUCGGGUAAGUUCCGACCUGCACGAAUGGCGUAAUGAUGGCCAGGCUGUCUCCACCCGAGACUCAGUGAAAUUGAACUCGCUGUGAAGAUGCAGUGUACCCGCGGCAAGACGGAAAGACCCCGUGAACCUUUACUAUAGCUUGACACUGAACAUUGAGCCUUGAUGUGUAGGAUAGGUGGGAGGCUUUGAAGCGUGGACGCCAGUCUGCGUGGAGCCAACCUUGAAAUACCACCCUUUAAUGUUUGAUGUUCUAACGUUGGCCCCUGACCGGGGUUGCGGACAGUGUCUGGUGGGUAGUUUGACUGGGGCGGUCUCCUCCCAAAGCGUAACGGAGGAGCACGAAGGUUAGCUAAUCCUGGUCGGACAUCAGGAGGUUAGUGCAAUGGCAUAAGCUAGCUUGACUGCGAGCGUGACGGCGCGAGCAGGUGCGAAAGCAGGUCAUAGUGAUCCGGUGGUUCUGAAUGGAAGGGCCAUCGCUCAACGGAUAAAAGGUACUCCGGGGAUAACAGGCUGAUACCGCCCAAGAGUUCAUAUCGACGGCGGUGUUUGGCACCUCGAUGUCGGCUCAUCACAUCCUGGGGCUGAAGUAGGUCCCAAGG